rnacentral:tRNA from 1 species
GAGCGCAUAGCUCAGCGGUAGAGCGACUGACUUUUAAUCAGCAGGCCCAGGGUUCAAUUCCCUGUGCGUUCA